rnacentral:lncRNA from 1 species
GAUCAAGAGAUAAACAAAGAAUAAACAGAGUAAGAUUAACAUGCACACCAAGGCCUAAAACAUUAUGAUAGACAGAUAGAGUAAAGGAGUACAAAGAAGAUAUAGAGUCACAAAGAAAAGAUCUUCCAGGCAUAAAGACUUAAGUAGUAGAAACAGAAGAAAACACAAGCAGAAGAAAAAGUACACCACACCAGAACUAAGCAGGCUGAGAGGCUCUAGAAGCGCUCUGCCUUCAUCUGAGCCUCGCAGGGCUAUUUAUAGAGGUCGGAUUUCAAAUCCGGACUUCAAAAUUUAAAAUAAAAAAGACAGCUGGCCUGACAGGUGGCCAACAAGUACAGUGAAAAGCUGUGCUACAGUGACAUGCUACAGUAAAAAGUUUAUGAACAAUGUAUGCCGACAUAAUAGCGUUUGUACGGGCUACUACAGUGUCUGCCGACAAAAUAGUGUUUGUUCGGGCUGCUACAGUGCUUGCCGACAAAAUAGUGUUUGUACGUGCUGCUACAGUGUCUGCCGACAAAAUAGUGUUUGUACGGGCUGCUACAGUGUCUGCCGAUAAAAUAGUGUUUGUACGGGUGCAAUUUGUGCGGCUUCAGGCAUCAACAUCAAUCAGUGUCAGUAUCUGUGGGAUAAAGAUAGUAAGGAUAUCCAUCGGAGUCGUAGCUUGGGGAAGAAGGAACAGAGGGACUACAGGAUGGUCCAAUAUAGGUUUCAUUUUUCAGGAGGUUCUUCAGGUGGAGGAUGAUUUGUCAACCAGAGAUACAAUUGGUGUAGUAAGGCUGCUCCUCUAGGCUGCUCAUCAUUCCAUACCGAAUGCCUUGUAUAAACAUCAACAGGAAUCCCAGCUGGUCAAAUAUGAUUAAUACAACACAUAAUAUAUUUUAAUUCCAUCCAUAAAUGCAUAUGAAAUGGCCAAAAAGUCAGAAGAUUGAAAUCAUACCAUCCAACAGUUUCAAUAGCAGGGUGUUGGGUAAGAUAAACAGCAUUAGGAUAGGUCUGGGGGUUAAGGUCUUGAUGGAAACUUAUAAUUGCAUAUUGUUUAUGAGGAUAUUAAAACGAUUCAAUACACUGGGUAUAAUGAAAGUACUUAAUGAGGAAUUUAUAGAAGUUCAGGGCUCUGGGAUUAGGAUGUUGGUAAUUGUUCCAUUGAAGGAAAUGACAAUGUCUAAGCUAAGAAAUGAGUUUUCUGACAUGAAAGUUGAAGCAAAUGUGGUAAUUUUGGGUGAGAUACCAAAGAAAGCAAAUGACUUCUUUUGGUAUAUUAUAAAAGUGUCGGGUUUGGAAAAGGGACAGGAAAGGGUAAUUUGGAUGGCAUCGAAUUCCUUGUAUGCAAUCUCCGUGAUUUCGGACUACAAUUUCAUGCAUUUUUUAUUGCAUUAGAUCAUUCCUGGAUAGUAAGGAACUUCUGAGAAUAUCUUCAUGAAGUUCAUCAGGCAGAUCAUGCUCAUUAUCAUCAAUGGUUGUAAUUGCACCCAGAAAAGGAAUAAUUGAGGAGAUUCUCUUCUGAAAACCUUUUUCUUGAUAACAUAUCUGCCAAAACAUUAUUUUUCCCCGAAAUGUGCUUAUAUUCAAAAUUCCAUUGUGAAAACCAAUUUGAUCAUCUGAAAAGUUGUGGGUUUUGAAGUAUUUUGUUCUUGAAUCUCAGCAUGUUUGGAAAAGCUGACAAAUCCAUUUCCACUAAAAAUUUAUGUCCUAUUAGAUGAAAUUGGAAUUUUUCAAUUCCUCUUUUCACUGCUAGGAUUUCUUUGAAAGUAGAAUGGUAAUGGAGUUCAGAAUCCUUAAAGUUUCCACUUUUAUGACCACAAAUUAUCCUUUUACUUGCAAUUUCUUCCAGUAAAAUACAAGCCCAAUAUUCAUCUGAGGCAUCAGUUUGCAAAAUUCUUUUGCCAGUAGACGAAAUUUUCAAAGAGGGCAAAUUUUGAGACAAAGAUUUGAGCUUCUGAACGCACUCAGUUUGUAACUAAGUCCAUGGUGGUGCUUUCUUUUUCAAGAGCAAAUGAAGAGGACUGGUGAGCAAAGAAAGUUUGGGUAUAAAAGGUGACAUGUAAUUUACAAUACCUAAAAACUGUUGUAUUUGCUUUACAGAAGACAGAGUGUCAGGAAAUUCUAUCAAAUGUUUUGCUAUAGGAGGUUGUAAUCUAUACAUACCAUCAAGGAAAUGCAUACCAAGAAAAUCUACUUCAAAAGUAGCAAAUACACAUUUCUUUUCUGAUAACAUAAUUCCAUAUUUACAACAAAGGGAGUGAAAUUUUUCUAAGAGAGAGACAUGACUUUCCAAGUCUGGAGAAAAGAGCAAGAUGUCAUCUAUGUAUAUCAAAGCUUGAGAAGAAAUGGGUUCAAAAAUAGUGGUUAAAACUUUUUAAAAAUAAGUAGGAGCAUUUUUUAAACCAAAAAGCAUAACAGUCCAUUGAAAAUGAUAAUUGGGAAGGCAAAAAGUUGUUUUUGGUCUAUCAUCUGGGUCAAUUCCUAUUUGCCAAAAUCCAGAUUUUAAAUCAAAUUUAGAAAAUAUGUGAGCAUUAGAAAUUUGAGAAAACAUGGCAGUCUGAUUUGGUAAAGGAAAUUUGUCAUCAGCAAGAAAAUUGUUUAAAGUCUGAUAGUUGAUAACCAAUCUAAGUUUACCACGAACUUGUUCAGCUCUUUUAUUCAUAUAAAAAACUUCACAUGCCCAAGGAGAACUAGUUGGUUCAAUUAAUUUUUCCUUUAGUAGUUCAUGAAUUUCUUGCUUAGCCUGUUCUAGCAAAUCUGGAUUCAAUCCUCUGUGGGAGGCUUUUGUAGGGUUAAUGUCCUCAUUCUUUUUGAAGGGAAGUUUGACAAAGAAAUUUUGGUUUCUCCAAAGAGGGUUUGUACAUUUUUUCAAAACUUCCAAAUAGGAAGUUGCACAACAAUCUGAAAUGAUUUUUUCUCUAAUGGUUUCCAAGAGUUGGGGUUGGUCUAGACUAGCAAUCCAAGGUAAGGGUAAGUUUCUAAAAUGAAGUCCUUUAGCUGUCCAUUGAAGUUUUACUUGGUGUAAAACAUCAAAUCCUAAUAAGAGCUCUUUGUUAGGGAGGUAGGAACCUAAGAUCCUAUGUUGGAUAACCACUUUAGGAAAAAGUUUAAUAAGAACAGGUUUGCUAAUCUGAUGGAUAGAAAAUUUUUCUCCAUUAGUAGCUCUAAAGGUUUGGUUGCAAUUUUCCCAAAAUUGUUUUGGCAAUAAAUCCGGUUUCAGAAUGCUAGCAGAUGCACCAGUGUCAAAAAAGGCAGGGACAGUCAAGGGUUUGGAAUAAUGUUCACAAAGGAGUUGGAGAAAGGCAAUUGGGGUAGGUUGUGUUGGAAGGAUAUUUAUUUCUAGGGUUUCAUCUUGGGCAGACAAAAUUUCAGGAACCACAGUAUUGUUGAUUUCAUUCAACUCAAAAUCAUUUGGAUAUGAAAUGGAAAUUAAUGUAUCUUCAUUCUGUUCAUCAUCCAGAGAGAAUAUAGAUUCCAGAUCAUCAUCAACAUUUUCUUCCAAAACUUGGGACAAAAGAUUUAUAAUCUUUCGUUUCUUUUUCUGGUUAGGACAAUCUUUUGCAAAAUGUCCUUUCUUGCCACAUACAUAACAACGAUCACCUUUCAUCCUAUUUUUUCGAAAUCUGGAUCUGCAAAGGUAUUUAAACCUUUUGAAUUUCUUCUUUUUCCUUUUUUGGUCAACCUUCUUCUUUUUUCCAAAAGGGGGACAAGCACAUAGUUUUUUCGAAUCACACUUAAUCUUGAGAUGGGGUUUAUCACAAGAUUUUCCAAGAAGGUGGUUAUUUUUCUCCAUCUGUUUGACAAAUUCUACCUGGUUACAUAACCUUUCCAAAGCAUGGAGGACAAACUGAUAAAUUUCCUCGAAAGAAAAAUUUUGAACUGUCAAUCCUUGAUUUUCCAUAGUUUUUGCUGCUUCCUUUCCAAGAGUAGGAGGAAUAGACUCAAGAUAAAAUUGCUUUAAAUUCACAUCAUCAAUUCCACAAAUUUUGUGAUAACGCUUAUUCAUUUCAGAAAAGUGUUUUUCUAAAUCAUGUCUUUAAAAGAACAACACUUAAGCUGAAAAAAUUCUUCACAGGCUGUAAUCUGUUCAUGCUUUACAGGGCCAGUAAAUUCAGCUACCAAAUAAUUCAAGAAUUCAACAAUGGAUUGACUGUUUCUCAAUUGUGUUUGACGGUAUUCUCCAAGACUUAAAUACCAAUCAAGUCCUCGAAGUCGUACCAAAACUUUGGAAAUUGUGCUUGCUAAUGUAUUUGCAGGGUUUAGCAUUUCUGCAUGCAUCCAUCCUUGUAUUUCUCGAAAUCUCUCAGUCCAUUUUGAAGGAGGGAUGUCAUCAAUUGUAAAACCUUUAGAUGAAUCUCCAUAGGUAGGGUUUUGAGGUCUAGGUUCUUCAUCUAUAAGUGGGUCUCGGUCAGGGUCAGGAGGUUGUUCAGAGGGAUCCAUCAUGAGCAAAGGAUCUAAAGAAACAGAGGAAGAAGAGGCUAAAAAACUCGUUGUAUCAGACGAUUCUGAGACAGAGUCAGAGGAUUGGGUUUCUGUUUGAAGGUUUAACUUAGGUUGUUUGGUCAGGUUUUUUAAAAAUGAACUCAUAUCUUGCAAAGGUUCGGACUGAGUAAGGUUUUGUGUGUACACAGAAGAUGCAACAAUAUCAUAAUCAGAAUCUGAUGCUUGAAGCAUUUGAGUUUCAUUUUUAGGAAGAGUUGGGGGUUGUGUCACAGGAGUAGGUUGAGGUUGUUGUUGAGUAACACCAGGAGGGGUAGGUUCAAGUGCCUUAGAAGUACUUGGGAUAGAAACAUUCGCCUUUUUUCUGAGUUGAGGAAAAAAUAUUUCCUCUGGGAAACGUCUUUCAUUAUCUAAAGAACGUAAAGAUUGAAAGCCGUAAUGCCUAGGAGGUAUUAAGCCAGUAGGAGGGUAAAUUGUUCUUGUAGGAGGAAAAGGGUCAGAAUAUCUCAAAGUUGGGUAACUUGAGAUAUAAGGAGUACCUAACAAGGAUUGAAGUUGAGGCGAGUUAGGAGAGGACUGGUAUGAAGUUUGAGGAUACUGAGAUUUCAUCCAUAGAUCUUUUUCCAUGCUUUGCAACUGUGUUUCCAAAAAUGCUUUUUCUCUACCUUUCUGUGCCAGUAAGUACGAUUGUAAAUGUGUGUCUUUAACAAAAUGGAGAAUCUACAUUAGCUCCUCAUGCAAAUAUUGUAUCUUUUCUUUCAAAUCAGUAAUUAUGCUAACUAACCCUGUUAACUGAGAAGACAUCAGAUUUUGUUUUUCCUCAACUCGGAGCAAGGCUAAGUUCUGAGACUUUGCAUUUUCGGCCUGCCAAUUAAGGCUUGCUUCGACUGGAGAAAUAGUCUUUAAUGUGCCUGAAGAAUCUCUAGUACUAGGGUUUUUUAUUUCCACACAUGCUUUUCAUGUUCUUGGAUUUUCUCAUAAUCAUGCAAAGGUGGAAAAUUAAUAACAUAAUUAGAUCCCUGAGGGUCAAAAGCCAUGCAUUCAGCAACAUCAGGUUUAUCAUCAUCAUUUUGAAUGCAAGUAGGACGAUCACAACAGUCAAACCAAUUAUGUCCAUCCACAGUUUUUUUAUCAUAAAUAGGUUUUUCCAUUUUAUCAAAAGCAAUUACUGGGACUUUUUCAAGAAAUCCUUGGAAUUGAGUAGGGAAAAUCUCUCUAGUGAGCUUAUCAUUAGAUGACUGAAAAUCUAUUUGAACAGUUCCAUCUUGCAUCCGGGUCAUUCUAGAUUCCGAUUAUAUCACCGCCUGACUCUGGGUUUGUAAAUUUUCAUAAUUUGUGACUCAAGAUGAGGGAAUCAAUUCAAGCAAUCGUUCCCUUGAAAUUUGUCUAGGGAUGUAAUGGCAAACAGGUUGGGAAUUGUUAUCAACUUUGAUGAACAAGGCAGUAUUUUCACAUUCAGGGAGUAAAGGUGUAACAAUGUCAAAAGCAUGGUUCUGCAGUCUGUAUACCAUCUGAUAAUGAAGAGUGGCAAUAGUUACAGUUUCAACUUGUCUGGUUCCAGUAAUUUGAACUUGUACUUUGACAGCAUAGCUUAGGUGAGGGUCUUUGAUAGGAAUGUUGAAAUUAGGAAAGAAGGUAACAAAGAUAGUGUCAACAUUAAGAGUUGUUUGGACAGUACCAAUGCAUGCAUGCUGGUAUUCUAGAAACCCGGUAUCUAGCAAUGCAAUUUUGGUUACAGCUUCCAUUCCUUUCCUACCAUGAAAGGUUAAGGCUAGUUUAAUAGCUCCAAAAUGGAUAUGAGUAUAUCUUUCUUUGAGCCAUUGAGGGAAAAGGUGUCUGGGAAGGUUUAUGGUAACGUACUGCUCAACUUGGGUUGCAGGGAUAUGGUGUUGGUCAAAAGAAGAAGCCUGAACAUAUUCUUUAUAGCAUAAGGGUUAUCUUUCCCACAAAGUUUCUUGAUUUGCUUGGUCAAGUUUAAGCUAGACUUGUCAUAAACAUGAUAAGGAUUGAUUAACUGAGACUUGGUUUCUGAAAACUUUUCAGGAGUAUAGGUUAUUUCAAAAAGGUGUUCCUGUUUUGAAAACAUAGGUCCUAAAUCUGGGUUAGAAGAGGUGGUGACAUCUAUAGAAGUAUCUAAAACAUUGUCUUUAACUAUUUUUUCAAAAAAAUUUACAGAGUUGACUGUAUGUUUAAAAACAAGCAGGUUAAAUCCAACUUUCUUUUACUGGAUACCAAAGUAUGAACUCCCACCAAGGCUUCCUUGCCCGCUUUUAGAGUUCCUGUUAUGGUCAUUCAAUGCAGAAAGUAUUGACAAUGAAAUUCUAUCAUUAAUUAAGUUAACCUGUAACUCGUACGUUGUUUUCUGAUGCGAGAGAUCGUUGUCCAGCAACGCAGACGCAGAGCAUACUAAUCCAGUAUGGAUUAUAGAUUAAUCCAGUCAACUUUUCAAAUAAGAGUGAACAUCAUAACUUAAGAACUUGGCUCUGAUACCAAUAAUAGAUGUGCAUCAUACUCUUUUCAAAACAUUCAUACAAGUGGAGUUCUGCGAUGGGGGCACGGACCAUUAUUAUGCGAAACGUGAUCCUACAAUGAAUGGAGCUCGAUCCUAGCCAAAUAGGAUCGUGGUAUUGUUUAAAUGGGGGCGGGCAAGACUCAAUAUUAAAUGAGAACUCGUUCUUGUUGUCGACAGGAACGCGAUUCUAAUAGACAUGGGAGCGUGAUCCCAUUACAUGUAACAAGUUCCUGUAAAAUAGGGAUCUCGAUCCCAAUGUAUCAAGAUCUCGCUCCUUAUGCAAACGAGAUCUCACUCCCUAUUCAAACGGGAUCACGUUCACGUUCUGUAAAUACAUGGAACAUGUUCUCAUUAAAUAGGUACAUCGAUCUCAAUGUAUAGGGAUCUCGAUCCCAACGUAUCGAGAUCUCGCCCCCUAUUCAAAUGGGAUCUCGUGACUUUUACCCUCACCGGAUCUCGCUCCCUGAGCUUCGGAGCUUCGGGCAGCCAUCGAUCCGAUGCUCCCGCUCCCGAAACCGGAGCCGUUCACUCUCUCGAAACCGGAGCCGCUCUCGCUCCCGCUCUCAACAACUAUGAUUGAAACCACAUUUCUCCGCAAUAUUUGAAGGAAGUAUAUUCGAAACAAAUCAAAGGAAAAUAUAAUUAAUUAUAAAUGAGGACUUAAAUUUAUGGUGGUAUCCUAUAGUUUAAUAAGUUUCAUCCAAUCUUAGCCUAGUGAAAAUUUACAUGCAAUCUCUGUUUAUCCUAUGGUUUAGCUUAGAGUAUUAUGCUAACCUUUAUCAGCCCCAAGUACCAAUAACCAAUAGUAACACAUAAUGGUAUCCCAUAGUUAAUUAGACAACAUUAGAAUCUUGAUAGGACAAGCCAGAAACAACAAUUUUAAGGAGAAUAAGCUAGCUAGAACAAAAGUAUUACAAUGUUAUGGUUAAAUCAUUCAUGCAAAAAAUUUAUAAAAGGCUAAAAUGGAAAAUCUCGAUGAAUAUGCAUACCUUUUUCUCCGAUGUAGCCACUCUACCUGUUUCCUGCCUCGAUGGAUCUCCCCACACUACAAAUUGACUCUAUAUUUUUUCUAAAAAAACCUUUCUCAUUAUUGAAAACAAGCAAUGUAAUAGAAGCUCCAGUCAUAGUAAUAUCAUGAGAAAUUAUCGUUAGUAUACUUUAAUUUUAAGAAAAUCACGAAAAAACUCUCAACUUUUCAAAACCUCGCCCACACUUUUUUUCUCAAUUUUUGGAAUUUUUUGGACGAAACUACCCUUUACGAUAGUCUUUCUACUGUAAUAUAAACUACCGUAAUAGUGUGAAGACACAAUACGGUACUUUGAGUACCUGUAAUGAACAUUAAAUUUAAAUAUCGUAAAGAACAUUACGGUACUUUAAUUACCGUAAUACAUAAAUAUAUUCUUCACAACAUUCUUAGUAUUGUAAUGAAAGAAAGACUAAUGCGAUCUUGUCAGGGAAUAUUUUUUUUCAUUUUUCUUCUUUUCACUCUUUUUCUUUUCCUUUUCUUUUCUUUUGGAAAAUAUCAUUUACAAGUAGUCUUAUUAUAAUAAUUCUUGCUUCAAAGAAAAUAAAACUAACAAAUCCAAGAUCUUAAAAACCUUGAUGUCAGUAAACCAAUUUUCUUUAAACAAAUAAAAUAUCCACAAUUCAUAUGCUUGGGAAUAUAAAACCAAUAUAAUUAAAUAGAGCAAGAAACAAAAAAAAAAAAGAGUGCCAGAGAGUAUCUCAACUGGGCGUAUUACACCCCACACUGGCACGGGAUCAACGGUUUAGCUUUAAUCUCGAACCGAUAAAACAAAUUUCGGCCAAACUGAAUAUUCACCCUUAAAUCUUUACAAACUCUAACCCCCAAAAUUUUCUUGGCUUAUAAUUUCCCAACCCUUAGUAUUUUUAAAGCAUGAGAGAGAAAGUGGGAGACCUAAGGUUGAGGCGUGCCCCUCUAGAGGCUUAGGAGAGAGAGGGUUAAAGAGAGAAAAUUGGAAAGAUAGACCCAAAGGAGAGAGAGUGAGGCGUGCCCCAAUAGGAGAGAGAAGAGAGAGAGUUGUGGAAGAGAGAAAAGUGUAAAGAAAAGGUAGAGGGUGCACCCUUAUUUAUAGAGAAAAAUUAGGUUUAAGGUUUCUAAUAGUUUACCUCUUUCUUAAAAUUAAAUAUGGACCGUUAAUCAAGGUGACUUGUGGAGUGAGAGAUCUAAGUCAUCAAUUCCAUAGAUGGGCCAUCAACUCCAUAGAUGGGCCAUCAACAUUAUGACAUGCGCUUGGACCAUUAUCCCUCUUUCCUUAAACCAUUUUCCCAUCAAUAUAUUUAAAUAAAUUGAAUCUUAUUUAAAUAUUAUUCAUUCCAUAAAGUAGCAUAUUUUUCCCAUACUAUUCAAAGAUAUGUCAAGUCAAGAUAUGCUUUCAAUAUUUAAGAUAAAAUAUGGUCAAUCUUUUCUAUAUCUAAUAUUAGAUCACAUGCCACAAGAUACAUUUCUUAAAUUUGAAUAACUUGACAAGAAAGCAAACAACCCAGAGGUGGGGUGUGCCACCCAUGUGUGGCAUGUGUGGACCCCACCCACAUGAUACAUGGUGGGCCCAUGUGCACCAUUCUUAUAAGUCCAAAAAUUAUAAACAAAAUAUCAAAAGACUCAUAAAAAUUUAAAUAAUAAUUUAAAAAUAAUGUCUACCAUAAAACAAACAUAAUUAAAUUAAUAUGAUGGAAAAUGAAUCCAUUUGAUUUAGGAAUUGAAUUAACAAUCAUGGGGCACUCCACAUUUAACUGUAGACUACGGACCACACUUACUUUAUCAGACCGACCCAGUGUUUCACAUGACCUACAGUCCAAUCAGGGACUCAUUAGUGGGUCACCAAAGUUUGACCGAUCAGUCAAGGGGUCUCAAUCCCAGUCUGUAGAUUUCAAAUCCUCCCCUAAAGACGAGUUAAAGUCACCAAGACCUUAUGCGAUCACAGCUCUAUGGCGCAUAAUAAUAUCUCUUGCACGGGCAUGCAAUUCACCCUAAAAGGUGGAUAUUUGGCUUUCUUGAACGAUCUAUCGAUAUGCAUGUCGUGUGAUGGAUCACGGAUGAGGUUUUGGCUCCCGUCUCUAUACGUCCACCAUCAAACACAAGGGUCACAAAGUCCAUCGGCUCAUUCAUCUAGGUAUAAGCUCCGACUUAAUCAAGGGAUAACACAGAACCCUUCUCGAUUUGUUCUCUAUGCCCAAAAACCUUGGGUUUUUCAACCGACUGAAUUAGAUCAUCAGCACAGUCCGGUAUCAGCAAACAUCGUUUUCUUAAUAUGGUCCAUGAGGGACCACACUCAUAUUGAGUUCGUGUUCCAUCAUAUUAUUUUAUGUUACAUGCGUAUUCAUAAGACAUAUAAAGGCCACAUAAACCCAAUAUCUCUCACUUGGCCUUUGAAGGCCUUACAUUCUAUCUUUCUUACUUUCUCUCAUUCACAUCUCUCUCUCCAAAUUACAAUCUCUCUUGGGCAUUUUUACUUAUUAUGUCAAUAUUAAUCAUGAUUUUUGCCAUCAAUUAUUUUAUAAAAAGAUUUAUAAAGGCAACAUUUUUUUCUCUUUACUACUCAGAUCUCAUCCCAAAAGUGAUCGUAGCUCAUCUUUCACUUCACUUAGCGAAUCAUGAACUUGUCGCAGAAAACCAACCAUCACGUACUCUCAACCCAUGGGGUCGUAUGUUCAUGGGCUCAAAAGAGUUCUUCAAAUAAGCUGCUCAUUUUUAUAACCAUACAACCAGCACCACACAUUUGGAUUCCAUGAGUAAACAACAUUAUAGUCUGUUGUUCCAUCUAGCAUGUCAAAUACUAACAGAUGCUCCCACUGGAAUAUUUAAUUUAUCUGGAUCUCGAUCUUUCUCAAUCUCAAUCUCACCUCAUUCCUCAAGUGAUAAAAACAUGUGUUUUAUAUGCUUGGAGUUCUUAUGAAAUUGUGACUUCUUUGACACACAUAUCAUCGCCAUGUUGUCGCAAAAAAUUCUUACUGCCUCACAAUGCACGAGGUGAAAGUCAAAUCCAUUAAAAAAAAAUUUAAUCCAUACAGCCUCCUCGAUCACCAAACAGCAUGCCAUGUACUCUGCCUUUAUGGUGGACAAUUUCGUCACAUCUUGUUUAUUUGAUUUCCAAAAAACUGCACCACCUCCAAGCAUGAACACAUAUCUAGAUGUAGACUUCGCAUCAUCUGGAUUCGUGAGAUAGCUUACACCUGUCUAUCUGAAUAUCUAAGCAGCUAAAAAAAUGUGAGACUGUAACAGCUCCCACUUAAUUAUUGUACAUACAACAUAUACAUUCUCAACAUUCUUAUGCAUAUAUCAUGAGGUAGCAUAUCAAGUCUCAUGCAAUAUAUCAUUCAAUACCCGUUGGUUUCACAAUAUGCAAAAACCUUCACAAACCACAAAGGUUCAACCACACUAGACAUCUUGGUAGUAAAUUCGUACAAACCAAGUUAUCUAAUCAACACAACAUAUAUCAAGGAAGCAUAGCAUGAUGACAUUCUCACAACAUUCCAUAUGGUUCAAAGUCUUAAGUAAUCGAGGAUUCUUAAUAACUCGAAACAUGGGUCAAAGCAUAUAGGUAUUUAAAAAAGAAACAAUGCAAGACAGUUUUUCUCUUACUUUUAUAAAUACCUUCAAGACACAAUGUUAUUCACAAGCAAUAGUUAUAGUAUGACAGUUUAAAAUGAUUUUCAUAAAGAUUUAAUGGACCUUGCAAGACAAUGUGAUUUUCUCAAAACCAUAUUCAUAAACNNNNNNNNNNNNNNNNNNNNNNNNNNNNNNNNNNNNNNNNNNNNNNNNNNNNNNNNNNNNNNNNNNNNNNNNNNNNNNNNNNNNNNNNNNNNNNNNNNNNNNNNNNNNNNNNNNNNNNNNNNNNNNNNNNNNNNNNNNNNNNNNNNNNNNNNNNNNNNNNNNNNNNNNNNNNNNNNNNNNNNNNNNNNNNNNNNNNNNNNNNNNNNNNNNNNNNNNNNNNNNNNNNNNNNNNNNNNNNNNNNNNNNNNNNNNNNNNNNNNNNNNNNNNNNNNNNNNNNNNNNNNNNNNNNNNNNNNNNNNNNNNNNNNNNNNNNNNNNNNNNNNNNNNNNNNNNNNNNNNNNNNNNNNNNNNNNNNNNNNNNNNNNNNNNNNNNNNNNNNNNNNNNNNNNNNNNNNNNNNNNNNNNNNNNNNNNNNNNNNNNNNNNNNNNNNNNNNNNNNNNNNNNNNNNNNNNNNNNNNNNNNNNNNNNNNNNNUUCAUGGCCACAAAAACAAAUCAUAUAUACCAUCUUAUAAUUUAUCCAAAAUAAAACAUGACUAAAUAAUGUCUAUUAAAUCCUUGACAAAAUACUUCCUUUUUUACAAUUAUAAAAAAUUUAUCAAGAGAUCAUCAUCAUAUACAACACAUCAUAUUGUAGACAUUAUUGAGAGGAUGGUCACCAAGACCGAAUUCCAUCAGAACACUCCCUUUGUGCUUAUAUAUUUGAAUGAGCAACACCCAUCUAUCGUGUUUCAUCCUUAGGGCUCAAAGCCCUUGAUCAAAUCGCAUCUCCAUGUGUAUCACUACCUUAAAUAAUUCAUACUCAAGCAUAAUGAGGCACAAAAACAAAAGGUAUUUAAAACCAGCUCUUUCAAAUUUGUUAACACUUAUCACUUAAUGUCUAUACACUCCAUAUAUAUUCAUAAAACAAUUAGCCAAAAUAUAACCAAAGCAUAUUAAACAAAUUUAUUGAAUCAUCUUCCUUAUAUGACUUUACCAUGCAAUGUGGGAUAGAUUCCAUACCUCAAAACCAUGUAGUGUGGUACCUGAGCUUUUUUUAUUCAUCACUUUUACUUGUUUGACAAGCUUUUAUAAUCUUGGAAGUGCACGCAACUGAUGAAAAUAUAUUGUUCAUCGAUUUCACAUAUCACGAAGUGUCCAUCUGUUCGGUACUUGGAUUCUCCUAUCUAACACCGUGAAGAAAAUAUCUUUUUCAUCCCAUUAUUUCAAAUAUAACAAUUUUGAUUCUCCUACUAAUCUUUAUCGUUUCUAUACUACUACCAAGUCUCUCUAUAUAUCCUUUCAUUUCGAAUAAACUAAUAUGCUUUUAUAAGUAUUAUGUCUCUUCUUCUUUCUGUUAUUCCCAGAUCGAAUACUCUUCACAUAGAGUGUCAUAUCUUGUCAACUCUGUAUUACCCCUCUCUGAAGUUUUAUUAUAAUAAAUCAUACUCAUAGCACAUUAUAAAACCCUUUUAAAUGAUGCCUAAAAAAAAUCUCCAUAAUUAAGAAUCCAAAGAUGUGCCUUAACAUGCCACAUUUUUUUAAUUUACUGUAAAAUAGAACUUGAGCAUCUCAUGAUAAAAAUAUGAUAUCUCUCAACUCAUAAAGAGUUAAUCUUCGAAUCUUUUUUAGUAUUGAAAUAGAAUAAAAAAAUAUACAAUAGUGCUCAAUUCCAUCCCUAAAUCAUACAAUUUAGUUAGUAUUCAUUUUAGUGACAUUUAUGUCACAAUGUAAUUUUUUCAGUUGAAAAUAAGGUUGAGCACAUCUCAAUAAAAAAUUUGUUUCUCUCCUAAAAUCUUUUAUGUUGAAAACUAGACUCAAAACCAUAGUGUGAAUCUCAUAUAAUACUUUUCUUCAAAGAAAUAAAUAACAUUUAUGUCACAAAAUAAAUCAUACUGCAGAAUUUCGAAAUGAACACUAUCUAAUAAAAUUAUAAUUUCUCUUUAUCAUCAUGGAGUUUCCCUUUCAAAAUAAUUUUGUUUGAAAGUAACAAAAUAAUUUUGUUUUAAAGUAGACACAUAACAAUAAUACAUAUAUUUCCACAAGCCUUAUAUCACUCUGUUAAGUAAGCUUGAUAAAUAUAGUUAUUAAUAUCUUCAAUGAAGGACAUACCAAACUGUAGAAAGUUCAGAAUGACCUCAAUUCAAUCCAAAAAUUUUAUUCCUCACUUCGUAUAGAUAUUUCUCUCUCAAAUAAAUUUUAUUAGAAACUAAACUUAGAAUGGAAAUCUAAAAACUAGAGUGAGCCAUAAAACAUUCUGUUAAGAAUAAAAAUAAAAUCUUGAGUUCUAAGUUAUGGAAAUAAUUUUCGUUGUAGAAAACAGCACUUGCGCACCCAUCAAUACAUCGAUCAUAUCUUUCAAACCACAAGAAAUUUCUUGAUGAAACAUUUUUGUUUAAAAUUAGACUUAAUUUUAUGAGUUAAAGUAAAAUUUCAGCAUUAAAUAGAAUCAUAUCAUUAAUGGGAAAAAUCAUCAAACUCAGUAGACAGUUCCUGAAUUUUGCAGGGUCAGAACUGACAUCAUUCAUUGAUGAGUCCAUAACUUUCAAUUCCCUUAAAAAAAAAAAGAGUGACUAAGAUUACCUCAACCGGGCUUAUUACACCCUACACCGAGCCUCCAGCAUCCGAUGACGCGGGAUCAACGGUUUAGCCUCAAUUUCGAACCGAAAAAGUAAAUUUCGGCCAAACUGAGUAUUCACCCUUAAAUCUCUACAAACUAAACCCCCGAAAUUUUCUUGGCUUACCCCUAAUUUCCCAAAACUUUGUAUUUUUAAAGCAUGAGAGAAAAAGUGGGAGACCUAAAGUUGGGGUGUGACCCUCUAGAAGCUUAGGAGAGAGUGAGUUAAAGAGAUAAAGUUGGAGAGAGAGAGACCUAGAAGAGAGAGAGUGGGGCGUGCCCCUAUGUGAAAGAGAGGAGAGAGAGAGUUAUGGGAGAGAUAAAAGUGUAAAGAAUAGGGAGAGAAUGCACUUUUAUUUAUAGAAAAAAAAUUAAGUUUAGGGUUUCUUAUUGUUUGCCUCUUUCUUGAGAAUGAAUAUAGAUCGUUGAUCAAGGUGACUUAUGGAGUGAGAGAUCUGAACCAUCAUUUCCAUAGAUAGGCCAUCAACAUUAUGAAAGAUAAUUGAGCCAUUAUCCCCUUUUUCUUAAAUCAUUUUCCUAUCAAUAUAUUUAAAUAAAUUGAAUCUUAUUUAAAUAUUAUUUAUUCUAUAAAAUAACAUAUUCUUUCUCAUACUAUUCAAAGAUAUGUCAAGUCAAUAUAUACUUUCAAUAUUUAGGAUAAGAUGUGGUCAAUCUUUUCAAUAUCUAAUAUUAGAUCACAUGCCACAAGAUAUCUUUCUUAAAUUUGAAUAACUUGACAACAAAGCAAUCAAAACGUGUUGACCCCACCCACAUGGUACAUGGUGGGCCCAUGUGCACUAUAGGCUCCCAUGAUAUUUAACAAAUUAAUUUCUAAAAUAUUAUUUGAAUUUUAUAUUUUUGUAAAAUCAAUAACUUUUUAUUUUUAUAAGUCCAAAAGUUAUAAAUAAUUUUUAUAAGUCCAAAAGACUCAUAAAAAUUCAAAUAAUAAUUCUAAAAUAAUUUCUAUCAUAAAAUAAAACAUAAUUAUAUUCAUAUUAUGGGAAAUAGAUCCAUAUGGUUUAGGAAUUGAAUUAACAAUCAUGAAGCACUCCACCAUCAACUGUGGACUACGGACCAUACUUACUUUAUCAAAUCGACUCAGUGUUUCCCAUAACCCACAGUUCAAACAGGGGCUCAUUAGGGGAUCACUAAAAUCUGACGGAUAAGCCAAAGGGUCGCAAUCUCAAUCUGUAGAUUUUAUAUCAGCCCUUAAAGACGAGUUAAGAUCACCAAGACCUUAUGGGACCACAGCUCUAUAACACAUAGGAGUAUCUCUCGCACAUGAAUACACUUCACCCUAAAAAAUCGAUAUCUGGUUUUCCCGAACGAUCUAUUGAUAUGCAUUCCUUGUGAUGAAUCACGGAUGAGGUUUUGGCUCUCGUCUCUGUAGGCCCACCAUCACACACAAAGGUCACACAGUCCCACGACUCAUCUAUUCAGGCAUAAGCUCUGACGUCAUCAAGAAAAAACCCAGAACUCUUCUCUGUUUAUUCUCUAUGCCUAGAUACCUUAGGUUUUCCAACCUACUGGCCUAGAUCGUCAAGCACAGUCUGGUAUCAGCAAACAUCGUUUGCUUAAUAUGGUCCACGAGGGACCACACUCCAUUAAGUUCAUGUUUCACUAUAUUAUUUCAUUUUACUAGUACUCAUAAGGCCUUUAAAGGCUACAUAAACCCAACACGUAAUGCUUUAAAAAACUUCAAACGGAAACUAAUAUCAAGACUACCCCUCUCCUACCGUGCUAUGCAAAAUCAAAACCAAUAGACACAUUUUUUUCAUAAAUCCCAAAAAAUUCUCCUUUAUAUUUCAUUUUCGAAUAAAUACGGAACAAAAUUUGAACAAGUUCAAGCUUUUGUUUUUUUAUUUAAUGUAUAUACCAUAUACAAAUUACCCACCACCAUAGGGGUAUUUUACAAAAAAAAAAAAUGGUUCUACAAAAUUCUAGAGAUAGAAACUCUGGCCCCCUACGCGAUUAAAAUGGUCCCUUGUUGGUAGUAGAAAUGAAAAUCAAUACGUCAUGUUGUGGCGGCUAUUCCUACUAUUUAAAUUAGUUAAAUUUUGGCUAUAAUUUUUUCAAUUUAUUUGGGCUCUUAAGUGAUGGGCAUCGAACUCGGAUGUAUUGCUGCAAUCAUUAACAACUUACGUAUCAAGCCCAAACGCCAUUGUUAAAUAAAAUAGUCCAGGCUAAAUCCGAUUUCAAAUGAAUCAAUAUAUUUUCUGUAUUAUGUAUUUUUUAAAAAAAGAAUCAUCAAUUAAAGGUAAGAUUGGACUGUAGAGAAAAUUAAUUUGGCAAAAAAGCAAGUGCAUACCUCAAUAUUUAAAAAGCCAAACUGAAAAAGACUACCACAAACAAGAUUUCAUAGAAAAAUAUAUAUUUAAAUACAACAAUACAUUUUUAAACGAUUCAAAAGAACUUACACAGCAGAACCAGUACACUAUGAUCUCCAAAACAGUAGAACUUACACAGCAGAACCAGUACACUAUGAUCUCCAAAACAGUAGAAAAAUUGGUCCAAAGUGUCAUCAUCAUCCAAUCAAUGGGUGGUCGACAUAGGAGACCGGCACCAACCAUAAGAUUACAGAUGGAUGCCAAACUCUCCAUCAGAAAGCAUCCAAUGGAUGAUGACAGACAACUAGGACCAGAGAUUUCCUAUGGUCCUAUAGAUCAUAGCAACUCAUCCAUGUACACUCAGACUCGGGCAAGUGACUCAGCACCGACUUACCCCGAGUUUUGUGCGCAACUCAGGGUACUUAAAAGAAUUGUAAAAAAAUAUGGGAUUGUUUUAUGAAUUAUUUUAUACAUAAUUUGGACUUUUUGGCAAAGGUUGGGGAGUGUUUUUGGUAUAAUUUCUAUUUUAUAAUUUGUUUUUUUGAAUUUUUAAAUAUCUCUAACUAUAAAUCAAUUUUUGCAAAUCCAUUUUUUUUUAUAGUUUUUUAAACUUAUUUGGAGUUUUUAAGGGGUUUUAAUGAGUUUUAACAGCUUCAUUUUGUUUUUCUAAUUUACUAACUUUUUUAAAAUUAUCUAAGUCUUUUGGCCUUACACAAAACUCGGCUGAGUCUGUCUAGACAAGACCGAGUAACUCGCCUUGGCCAAGAGCCGAAUCCCUUGGUCAAGACAAGUUCCGUAACACUAGAUGAUAACACUCUUGUAUAAAUUUAUAAAACUCUGCUCGCUCAUACAUAAAUUUAUGAAACGUCUGUCUGGUGAGAUAUUAGGAAUUAGUUAUUUCACCCAAUUAAGGUGUACCAUGUUAUAAACGUGUCUUGGAUCAUUUUUUUUUGUUUUUUUCUAAAAAGGAAGGGAAAACAAUUGGCUACUUUUUGGGGCCAAAUCAAACUAAACCCAGUGCAAGCCUGGCCCAAUUAAGUAAUGGGCUGGCCUAGUCCAACACUCCAACACAAGCAUUUCUUUAUGGGCUAGGGAUCCUGGCCAAAGCCAUAAUCAAGGCAGGCCAUGACCUAAGCUAGUCUUUGGCCCAGUGGGUCCCAAGUACAUAACCAGAACUCACUUUGAGUCAGGGCACACGUCAUUUCUUACAAAAGAUGGAGAAAUAGAGAUGUAAGCAUCUCAAAUAUUCAAAUGAUUUUUCUUUCAGCUUUUUGGCUGUAUAAUGUUAGGAAAAAGUUUUAUACAAGGAUGCUACCUAGAACUACGGAUGUCCCUCAAAAAUCCAUAGGAAGUUUUAUUGUUGGAAAACCCUUUGCUUGAUUAUCUCGACAUCGGGAUGUAUGACUAUGAAAAAUAAAAAGAUUUUUAAAUCUAAAAAAUAGUGCAUUUUACAACAUAUUAUCUACACCGUCCAUUUUUAAGAUUUUUAUAUAUUUAUAGAUCUACUUGAUUUUAACUAUUUUUUUAAUUUAAAAAUUUAUAAUUAGAUAUAAAAAUAAAUUUUGAGAUAAUCCUAAAAACAUUUUACAUUAAAAUUAUAUACCAUCAUAAAAUUUGAAGGACACGUACCUCUACACCUACAUUAUGCCAACUGCACCCAUAAUGUUAAAUCACCCUUGAUAUUUUCCUACCGUAGUUAUAAGAAAAAUUAUAAUGUCGAUCACCUAUAAAUGCCACUAGACUUAUACCUCACUCAUGUUCAUUUCAUACCCCCCACAAUCCAAUAAUUUCAUAAUUUUUCCCCGAUCACCAAUAAAUGCCACUAAAUUAAGAACCACAAACACCAUGCCAAUUAUAUCUCCUCUAAAAAUGCUUCAAAUUCCUAUUAAAAAAAUUCCAAAAAAAAUCAGUAAUAAACCUUGUUUUUUUCCUUAACAAGGAACAAAACUGGAAAUUUACCUGAACAAGCUCCAAGAGAAAUUGAAUGUCCUUAAGAGUAGAGCUCUGCUGACAAAUUCCUGACCGCAUGACAAAAAAGGUCUUCAGUGAGAGGAUUGGGCUCCGUCCCUAUUGAGAAUUUUUUAGUCCUUAUCUCUUCUCUGUGCUCUCUUUAUGGUGUUCUAGCCGGGUUGGAUUGUCAGUUUGAGAAGAAUUAAAAUAGAAGCAAAAGAGAUUUUAAAAUCAGUUUUUAUAUGAACCAGAGUAAUGCUUUUAUCCACUUUCUUCUUUGAGAGAUUUGGAACUUGAGACUGAGAUAGAUGGAGAGAGGAGUGGAACUUUAGAGAGAGAGAGAGAACUUCAAUUUGAAGAACUAGAGAGAGAUUGAGGGCAGGAGGAUUGUAGGAAUAAAGGAAGAGAGUUUCUUGAGAGAAAGAAUGAGAGGUAUGAGGAGUUCAACGGGAGAGUGAGAAGGCUUCCAUUUAAAGGGCUAGAGAGAGAGACUGUGGUUUACGGAUUUUAGAGAGAAAGAGACUGGCUUGGAUUUUAGAGAGAGAAAGAGUAACUGGCUUCUUUAGGAAGUUAAGAGAGAGACCGCGGUUUAAGGAAUAGAGAGAAGACUUCAUUGGGAAGUUUGAACGACUUAGAGAGAGAAAGAGAGUUUCUUGGAAAAGAGAGAUUGAUUAAUGGCAAUUUAUAGGGAGGGAGAAACUUCGAGGCGAUGGAAAACCGCUGGAAAAAGAUGAAGGAAUCAUUUCGAAGACCGGAG